GAGCACGUAGGUGGGUUUGUCAGUCAGGGGUGAAAUCUCGGGGCUCACCUCGAACUGCCCUGAAUACAGCAAGUCUCGAGUCCGGUAGGGGUGAGUGGAAUUCCUGGUGUAGGGGUGAAAUUCGUAGAUAUUGGGAAGAACCCCACUGCCGAAGGCGUUUUCUUGGCUCUGUCCUGCCCCCGGGGUGCGAAAGCGUGGGGAGCAAACGGGAUUAGAUACCCCGGUAGUCCUAGCCGUAAACGAUGGGCACUAAGUAGAGGGGUUAU
rnacentral:rRNA from 1 species